rnacentral:rRNA from 1 species
UCCGUUGGUUGCGGUUAAAGCUCGUAGUUGGAUUUCUGUUAGGGAUGGCCAGUCCGGUCUACGACUGUGUAUUUGGUUCAGCCUUGGCAUCCUCGUAAUCUUGCCGUCGUUAAUUCGGCGGUUGGGCUACGACUUUUACUUUGAGGAAAUUAGAGUGUUCACGGCAGGCGAUCGCCCUGAAUAUAUUAGCAUGGAAUAAUAACAUAGGACUUCGGUACUAUUUUGUUGGUUUCUAGCACUGGAGUAAUGAUUAAUAGGGAUAAUUGGGGGCAUUUGUAUCAUGGCGUCAGAGGUGGAAUUCUUGGAUUGCCAUGCGACAAACUACUGCGAAAGCAUUUGCCAAGGAUGUUUUCAUUGAUCAAGAAC